rnacentral:ribozyme from 1 species
AGCAAAAAGUCGAAAAUCAGUAUAUUCUUGUGUAGUAGCACCUUUUAAAUUUUUUAUCGUAUUUUUCCCUUUUCUUACAU